rnacentral:rRNA from 1 species
GACGAACGCUGGCGGCGUGCUUAACACAUGCAAGUCGAACGGAAAGGCCCUUCUUUUGUGGUGUGCUCGAGUGGCGAACGGGUGAGUAACACGUGAGUAACCUUCCCUUGACUUUGGGAUAACUUCAGGAAACUUGGGCUCAUACCGGAUAGGAGCUCCUGCUGCAUGGUUGGGGUUGGAAAGUUUCGGCGGUUGGGGAUGGACUCGCGGCUUAUCAGCUUGUUGGUGGGGUAGUGGCUUACCAAGGCUUUGACGGGUAGCCGGCCUGAGAGGGUGACCGGCCACAUUGGGACUGAGAUACGGCCCAGACUCCUACGGGAGGCAGCAGUGGGGAAUAUUGCACAAUGGGCGGAAGCCUGAUGCAGCAACGCCGCGUGCGGGAUGACGGCCUUCGGGUUGUAAACCGCUUUCGCCUGUGACGAAGCGUGAGUGACGGUAAUGGGUAAAGAAGCACCGGCUAACUACGUG